rnacentral:sRNA from 1 species
UCGCUGCUUGAGGUGGCGAAGAGAAGCAUUGGGAAACAUAGACUUAGCGCUCCAGUGUUAGUCUCGUUUCCCGCUCCAAACAUGAUCCAGGUUUCGGCCUGGGUCGAAGAGAAAAGGGCCUUCGGGCCCUU